CACGUGUGCCCUUUGUAAUAUUCUGUACUUGGGGUUUAUAAGGACUGCAAAAAGAAAAUAAAGAAAGCUUAGGCGUGACUGCAGAAGAAGCAGCUCCACGUGCGAUGUUUCUUUGACACUCCCGUCCUGUUUCCACGGUGAUGACAGAUUCACCGGUUUUGUCAUCCAUCAGGUAGCCGGUAGAGAUGAAGCUUCUGCACUGAGAUAUCUGGCGACACAAGCAAUGUUUCAUCAAAUACUUGGAACUGCCACACUU